CAAGGUAGUGUGAUCCACAACAAAGCCCUUCAGCUGGUAAGCACAGCUUCGGUUUAGCUGUACACGUUCCUGAACCAGCUUCGCAACCUAGACUGGACAAAUAUUUUCAUAGUGCCGCUGCAUGUUCCAACUGUGUGGGUGGUGCUACAGCUCAGCAGGAGCUGAGUGUGCCCAGCCCGGGCAUCUCCACUACACCUCUGCCAUCUCAAGUCUCCAGCGGCAAUGUAGAUGCAGUCCUACAAACACAAACAGACACCUACAACUUAAUUAAAGAGGAUGACAAGGAGAAGAAAAGCAACAAAUCACAUCCACACACUGGCGAACAGUGUUUGGCUCAAAUGCCUGGGAAUAGAUACAUGGAAGGGAUUCAAUACAUCUCACAUCAUGGGAGUUAACAACAGAGCCGGCUCCUCAACUUCAGUAUUUGAAACGUACAUAACUUGUCUUCACUGUUUAAAGCUAAAGUAGCCUCAGCUACUGGUGUGUGAAUAGAGGACAUCGACUCAUAAGCUUUGCAUCUGGGAUAUCUAGUAUCCAAAAUCAAUAAUUUUCCUUCCAUCACGUACACCAUUACUUGACUCAGAAACUUUAUUCAGCUGCAUUUCAACUUGUCCAGUAACAAGGAAACAUACUUUCAGUAGUGUGGCCAAGUUUUUUAAGUGGACUGUCUUUUUAAUUAUACAGUAACUUGAUUAAAUAAUCACUCUAGGCAAUAUGAUUUUCAGAGUAAAUAAUUUUCUUUUUUGAAUUUACACAGUCCAGCUUGGCAUGCUUAAGCAUUUAGAGUGCCAGAUUAUGAACCUGUGUCCUGAGUCACAAAUGAUGAUUACAAACUUCCCUAUAAAUACUCUGCUGUAUCAUAAAUCUGUUAUCUUGUGUCUUUUAUUUCUCAUUGAUUGAUGACUGUAUUUGAACACAUCUUCACUUUAAACGUGACAUUUACUCAGGGAAACGUGUAACUGACAGGAAUAAAGUGUAUAAAUGUUUUUUAAUUUCCAGGUAUUCAUAUCAAAUGCUUUUGACAACAUACUAGUGGCUAAUGCAUUUGCUGUAUGCAAUCUGGUAGCCCAGUUAUUGUUUUAAUAAAGAGAGAUGUGUCAUGACUGCA